CCCUGUUCGAGAUCGAAAGGGUGUCAUAGAAAUCGUAAGAUUAGCUCGGUUACACCCUCAGAGAGAACUCCAAAUUUUAGCGUAGUCUUGAGAAAAAAGACCCUUUUGACAACUUUUACUGGUACAAUUUUAUAACACUCUGUGUCAUUUCAUUAUGGUAAUAUGUUUUGACGGACCGAUCUCCUCUGAGAAGACGAAGCUGUCUACACUGAGUCAUAUUUGCACUCUCCUUGUAUACAUGUACUCUAUGGUUUUGUUGUGUGCUUUGCUUUCAGAAAAAAAAAUGCCUGAUCUCGUUGCUCGUUGUCCGACGAUUCAGCGUUGGCGAGAACGGUUUUCCACCGUCAUGUUAGAAAUUCCAGCCCGCCUCCGCCAAUUCAUCCCAGAGCGGAGACCUGCUCUGGUGUACCCCUCGGAGCCUCUAGUGUUGGGUCCGUUCGAAGAUACCCCUCAAGCACGCGCAGAGAGGGAGGAGAGGGCUGCUAGGUGGCCGAUCUUCGACCCACCCUAUGAGUUCGUUAAUUGGGAGGGCGAUAUUCGUCCUCUCCCCGGAUAUGAUGCUUGGAGGCAAGAGGAGGCAGCUGCCAGUGCCCGCUGGGAAGAGGAGUUUCCGCCCUAUGAAGUCCCAGAAGAAGAAGAAGAGGUGUACGACACCGAGGAAGAUGAGGAGGAUAUGAACGAGUCUGAAGAGGAAGUUGAGCCCCUUGUCCUCCCCUAUCCGGACGAGGCGGAAGAUCGGGAUUUCUUCCUCGAUGCUAUAUUUUAGUUGUUGUUCUGUUAAGUUUCUUAAAUUUUCUUUUUUCUUUGUAAUAAUAAUAAUAAGUUUCUUUCGUUUUUUUUUCAUGUCUUAAAGAGUUUUUUAAUAGAUGAUUUUAAAAACUUAACUUCCUUUUGUUUGAUUUUUUCAUCGCACCCGUCUUCUUUUUUUUUUUUUUUUUUUAAUUUUGAUGUUUUUUGUGAACUCUUUGUUUUAUUUAUCAUUCCUUCUACUUUCUCUUAUCUUUAUUUUUCGCUUUCUAUAUUGAUGUUAAAUUUUUUCCAUUCGCUUUUUCUUUUUCUUGUUUAAUUUUUUCUUUUUUCACUUUUUCUGAUUGUAUUUAUUUUUCUUUUCUUUUUCCAUUCUGUUUUUUCUCUUCUCUUGUUUUUCUCUCUUUUAUUUUAAACUUUUCCGAUUUCCUUUUUGAAUUUUCCUUUCUGAGUUUUCUCUUUGGUUAUUUGUCUCUUCGUUUGUUUUUUGUCUCUUCUUCUUUCUUUCUUUUUAACUUUUCUGUUUGCUUCGUUUCGAAGUUUUCUUUUCAGCGUUUUCUCUUUGCUUAUUUGUCUCUUCGUUUGUUUUUUGUCUCUUCUUCUUUUUCUAUUUUUAACUUUUCUGUUUGGUUGGUUUCGAAGUUUUCAUUUGUCCUGUGUAGCAUUUCCAUAGUAAAAAUUUGUCUCCUCCAGCAAGAGUUGUGCUUGUUGUCUGGGGGUUAUUUGAAGGGGCCCCCCUUUCAUUGUUAGUUUAUGUAGUUAAAUUGAAAUAGGUUGCAAUUCUUCUAUGCAUUGCAUAUUGCCUAUCUCACUGUCCCAUGAAGAUAAUUUUGUUGUUUGGUUGGAAUACUUCUACAUUGAGUAUUCGCUGUUUAAUAUUUCAUAAUUUAAGGUUUUAAACUUACAAUUUUUGAAAAUCUAUUUUCAAAUUCAAUAUGAAAUUCAUCUAUUUUCAAAUGCAAUAUUUUCGAUGCUCUGGUGAUCUUCGGCUUUCAUUUAAUCGCAGGAGGUGGUAGGCAGGGGACAUCCAACGUUUGGUGCAACAUUUUCAGCCUCCUGUUGCUCAGACAUCAUUUAGUUUCGUGAAAAGCAAUGAAUGUUCCUUCUUUCGUAGGCCGUGGUUCCUAAGGGAAAAGGGAGUAAGUUUGUAUUGGUUCAAACGGGUGGUUUUUUGGUUAGCGGGUGUCGCCUACUUUUCUUGCGCUGCAUUAAAGUCUCUAAAAUGUUUCUUGAUUUUUUGCGGCGAUUAUGUUUCGUUUUGAACCUGGGAGUAGUAACUAGAUAUAAAGUUUUCAUUAAGCGCACUUACGUAUGGAUGUUGGUAGUUGCAAUAGGCAUACAGUGUAAUAGUAAUUGAUCACCUGAACUACAUUUUGCAAUUAGGAGCUAUAAAUUCCAGCUCGGUUUAAAAACUACGUAAGUGCCCUUAGUGUCCCUAUUCACAUAUGUGUUUUUCAGAUGAGACAGAAUUUAUAGGUCCCAAGUGCAAAAUGCAGUCCAACUAUCGACAACUCACGAGCCUCUGAUCCCGCUUAUUUUCCUUCUCAGGCUACAAGUACCACACGUUUCAACCAAUAGAAUCUCUCUGUUUUCCGUUCGUUCACUUUAUAUUUCGUUUCAUGUAUCAAGCAGCAGAGUUGCGAGGGUUUAUGGAAUCCCAAAUUUGCCAAUGUAGAUUUUAUGAACACUCUUCUCUCUGCUAUCGUUUAAAGAAGGAAAAAUUUUCGUCUUGACAGUACCCAUAAACAAACAGUUCUUUAACGAUUUCCACCCCUCCCUUAGAUCACGAAAUCAUUCCUUAUUUAGACCCUUUGCUUGACAGUACCUACUGACACCAAAGUAAUGAAAUUUUAGCACCGUUCGGCAACGUUGUGUUGAUUCGUGAGUGUAUGUCCUCCCUAUGUAAAUUCAAAGAAGUUCAUCAAUGCUUGUUUUAAUAUCAGAAGAACGGGGUCUCUGAUGCUUCUGAAUAUAGGUCUUUCGUUUAAAAGGACGUUGCAUUGUUGCGUUUUUUUCCAACAUUCUGUAGCUAGAGAUCUUUGAUUGACAGUCACUUAGCCUCAUGCCGGACCUAUGUGUGUGGGUGGUUUUGCAUUUCGGGAAUGCAGGUGUAACUGUUCCAGUCUAAAAUAUCCUGAACGAAGCGUGGAUCCGUUAACACCUAUUCUCUCUUCGCGGUAAUGCAUCAGCAUUGGGUGCAAGAAUCCGGUUGUCUCAGACUAAGUCGGUGGUCGUCUCUACCAUGCCUCAUUAUGCGUGGGUGGCCGUCAAUGAGAGAGCUGACGCCGGAUCUGGAUUACUGUUUUAAUACAUUCGGUUUUGAGGCUUCUUUGCAGUAAUGAUUCUCUCUAAACAUUACUCCUAUGAUACUGUAUUUGAAUAGUCCCUUUGUAAGAAUCGCGUAUUCCUUUAGCUUUCAGUGAUUAAUGCCUGUAUGCCAGCUAUCAUUUGGACUACAAUUCGUUUUUAGGAACUAUAACUUCCACUUCGGUUUUAAAAAAGUAAACGUAUUUGCCCUUAGUUUCCCUAUGCACACACGUAUUUUUUCAAAUGAGCCAGAAUUUAUAGCUCCCAAUUGCAAUAUGCAGUCCAAUUAAACCCUUAAUUACACGACAUAGCACCUAGUAUUCUGUAGGUACAAUACGCUAAUCGUACCGAAUUCGCAGAAUUUUUUGAUGCAAAAAAGAAGACUAAAAAUUGAACAUUUUAUAGGUCAUCGAGUUGGCGCCUCGCUCUCCUUCGGUGUUCUGUUUACGUGCAUUUCCUAAGUUUCUAGAUUUUUUCAUUGCUAAGUGUAGACUUAGAUUUGCAAAAGCAAAAAUUGCAAGACAGGAAAAAUGUUUAGAAAUUACAUUUUAAACCCUCUUCCCGUUUUUAUUUUUAAAAUCUUCAACUUGUAAGUGAC
rnacentral:lncRNA from 1 species